UGUUCAUUUGAGCACUGACUCUACACCAAUCAUGUCAAGUACACGUACCCUGCAAGUGUUGGCUGUAUUCCUGAUAGUGUGUGUUCUGGCUGAAUGUGUCUUUGCUGACGCUUUACCUGAUGAAAAUGAGCUUGUAGAGAAAAGUAGAAUUCGCCGAGACCCAGCUGUAUAUAUAUGUACAGGAAGGGGAUGUCGUCCAAAACUUAGGCACAGAGUACGUUGGAGGGGGAGGAAGAGGAAAUAUAGGAGGAAAUAUUGGAGGAAUAAGAAGAAUUAGAAGGAUGUUCAAAAUUGUGCGCUGAUCAUUUAUUAUUCGUUGAAUAAUUAAUGUGAUUGGCUGAAAGAAAGAAGAACACUACGCAUGCUCAACAAUCGUUUAUCCUGUUUGGUUACUUGUUUCAUUAUGAUUAUUAAUUAGACCUUACUAUUUAAUUCAUUAUUUAUUAUUAUUAUAAUUAUUAAAUUAAUGGUAUUAAUUUAUUGUAUUAGUCAAUUACAUACGUAAUGCAUAAUAAAUUAUAGUCUGUAUAAUUAACAUUCCAAUAAAUACAAAUAUCAAUAGUUUAUAACAUAUCUGAUGCUAAAUACAUAGUACAGUACAGUAAUUGAUAUACAAUAGAGGGGUUUUUACCUAAUAAAGGCAAUUACACGCAAUUA